ensembl:lncRNA
CAGAGAUAUGUGUGACACGCUGGGGCCUCCGGCAGCAGGCAACGCCGAUUCCUGCGCCACGAGAGCAGGUGGUGGAGUUCUCGGAGGAGUUCCUGGCGUUCUCCGGCGGCCAAGCUGGCAGAGGUCGCGGGGUGGUCGAGCUGAGCGUCAGCCACGAGGAGGUGGUGUUGGAGGCUGUGGCCGACAUGCCUGAAGAACGCACUGCCCUUGUCAUCAGGCUGUUGUCCAAGAUGUCCGAAGACUUCCUCGCUGACUACGUUGCCAACCACACUCUGGUCGAGCCGGAGGAACGCCGGGGCAUCGUGGCAGAGCUCUAGAAAACCGACAAAGAUCCGGACCUCGGUGACCUCAUAGCUGGCUACGGGCGUGCUUCUAAUGAUCACCAGAUGUCACCAAAUUAGCAACUGCCUACGCUCACAAACUACGCCGGCUAUUCCACACAGAAGUAAAUCAACCCAAGUGCAGAAGACAGACAGCAAGUGGCCAACAAACCAGACUGAAGAGAAGAGGAAGGCGGAGAAGGAAGAUGAGGAGGAAGAAGAGCGAUGAGGAAGAGGAGGAUUCAGCAUAUGGCCACAUUUGAAGAUCACAGAAGGCCAACGUCGGUCAACUUGGCGAAUUUGGGAUCAUCAAUUUGUCUUGCCAGAAAUAAAAAAUACAAAAAAUCGUUCUUGCAGCAUCAGACAAGGGCAAGAAAAUGUUACUUGUUGCUGUAUUUUACAGAUUCUUCCGCUUUUUCUUGGAGGAAAAACAUAAAUGUUUUGUAAUUACAUGUAGUUAUAUUUUCAUUGCUAUCUUCCAUUGAUGUUAUUGCCCUUUACACUGUUAUUCAUACAAAUUUCCUUUAACAAUAUGAUCAACAGCUAGUCUUUUCGUUUAUGGGUCUCUUUUUUCCUCUUUUUUCCACCUAUUUUAAGCCUUUUGUAAAGCUCCGCCGAUUUGUUCCCCUUUUGAAAUAUCUUGAGCAACAUUUUCCCUGUUUUGAAUUUUGGAGAGGGCCUUAUUGUUGCCAGUGCAACUAUUCACGAGUCACCCACGGCUACAG